rnacentral:rRNA from 1 species
CGCCCUUAGAGUUUGAUCCUGGCUCAGAGCGAACGCUGGCGGCAGGCUUAACACAUGCAAGUCGAACGGGCACUUCGGGUGUCAGUGGCAGACGGGUGAGUAACACGUGGGAACGUACCCUUCGGUUCGGAAUAACUCAGGGAAACUUGAGCUAAUACCGGAUACGCCCUUUUGGGGAAAGGUUUACUGCCGAAGGAUCGGCCCGCGUCUGAUUAGCUUGUUGGUGGGGUAACGGCCUACCAAGGCGACGAUCAGUAGCUGGUCUGAGAGGAUGAUCAGCCACACUGGGACUGAGACACGGCCCAGACUCUACGGGAGGCAGCAGUGGGGAAUAUUGGACAAUGGGCGCAAGCCUGAUCCAGCCAUGCCGCGUGAGUGAUGAAGGCCUUAGGGUUGUAAAGCUCUUUUGUCCGGGACGAUAAUGACGGUACCGGAAGAAUAAGCCCCGGCUAACUUCGUGCCAGCAGCCGCGGUAAUACGAAGGGGGCUAGCGUUGCUCGGAAUCACUGGGCGUAAAGGGCGCGUAGGCGGCCGAUUAAGUCGGGGGUGAAAGCCUGUGGCUCAACCACAGAAUUGCCUUCGAUACUGGUUGGCUUGAGACCGGAAGAGGACAGCGGAACUGCGAGUGUAGAGGUGAAAUUCGUAGAUAUUCGCAAGAACACCAGUGGCGAAGGCGGCUGUCUGGUCCGGUUCUGACGCUGAGGCGCGAAAGGUGGGGGAGCAAACAGGAUUAGAUACCCUGGUAGUCAAGGGC